GUAGGGAAUUUUCGGCAAUGGGGGGAACCCUGACCGAGCAACGCCGCGUGAACGAAGAAGUAUUUCGGUAUGUAAAGUUCUUUUAUUGGAGAAGAAAGAGAAAUUUGACGGUAACCAAUGAAUAAGCUCCGGCUAACUACGUGCCAGCAGCCGCGGUAAUACGUAGGGAGCGAGCGUUAUCCGGAAUUAUUGGGCGUAAAGGGUGCGUAGAUGGUUGAUAUAAGUCUUUUGUAAAAAUGCUAGGCUCAACCUAGUAGGGCAAAAGAUACUGAUGAACUAGAGUACGGCAGAGGCAAGUGGAACUACAUGUGUAGCGGUAAAAUGCGUAAAUAUAUGUAAGAACACCGGUGGCGAAGGCGGCUUGCUGGGCCUGUACUGACAUUGAGGCACGAAAGCGUGGGGAGCAAACAGG
rnacentral:rRNA from 1 species